GACGAACGCUGGCGGCGUGCUUAACACAUGCAAGUCGAACGGAAAGGCCCUGCUUUUGUUGGUUGCUCGAGUGGCGAACGGGUGAGUAACACGUGAGUAACCUGCCCUUGACUUUGUGAUAACUUCAGGAAACUGGGGCUAAUACCGGAUAGGAGCUCCUGCUGCAUGGUGGUGGUUGGAAAGUUUCGGCGGUUGGGGAUGGACUCGCGGCUUAUCAGCUUGUUGGUGUGGUAGUGGCUUACCAAGGCUUUGAGGGGUAGCCGACCUGAGAGGGUGAACGGCGACCUUGGGACUGAGAUACGGCCCAGACGCCUACGGGAGGCAGAAGUGGGGAAUAUUGCACAAUGGGCGGAAGCCUGAUGCAGAAACCCCGCGUGCGGGAUGACGGCCUUCGGGUUGUAAACCGCUUUCGCAUGUGACGAAGCGUGCGUGACGGUAAUGGGUAAAGAAGCACCGGCUAACUACGUG
rnacentral:rRNA from 1 species